UACGGAGGAUGCAAGCGUUAUCCGGAAUGAUUGGGCGUAAAGCGUCCGCAGGUGGCGAUGUAAGUCUGAUGUGAAAGCCCGGGGCUCACCCCCGGAAGUGCAUUGGAAACUGGUGGACUCGAGUCCCGGAGAGGAGGGUGGAAUUCCUGGUGUAGCGGUGAAAUGCGUAGAUAUCAGGAGGAACACCGGUGGCGAAGGCGGCCCUCUGGACGGUGACUGACGCUGAGACGCGAAAGCGUGGGGAGCAAACAGG
rnacentral:rRNA from 1 species